UAGUCCACGCCGUAAACGAUGGGCACUAAGUGUCGGCGGUUUACCGUCGGUGCCGCAGCUAACGCAGUAAGUGCCCCGCCUGGGGAGUACGGCCACAAGGUUGAAACUCAAAGGAAUUGACGGGGGCCCGCACAAGCGGUGGAGCAUGUGGUUUAAUUCGACGCAACGCGAAGAACCUUACCCAGGUUAGACACGCUCGUAGUAAGACCCUGAGAGGGGAAUGAUCCUGAAAGGGAAGCUUGCGCAGGUGCUGCAUGGCUGUCGUCAGCUCGUGCCGUGAGGUGUUGGGUUAAGUCCCGCAACGAGCGUAACCCCUGUCUUCAGUUGCCAUCGGGUCAUGCCGAGCACUCUGAAGAGACUGCCCAGGAUAACGGGGAGGAAGGUGGGGAUGACGUCAAGUCAGCAUGGCCUUUAUGCCUGGGGCUACACACGUGCUACAAUGGCCGGCACAAAGGGUUGCGAUCUCGCAAGGGUGAGCUAAUCCCAAAAACCGGCCUCAGUUCAGA
rnacentral:rRNA from 1 species